rnacentral:rRNA from 1 species
GUACGAGAGGACCGGGAUGGACGCACCGCUGGUGUACCAGUUGUUCUGCCAAGGGCAUCGCUGGGUAGCUAUGUGCGGACGGGAGUACGAGAGGACCGGGAUGGACGCACCGCUGGUGUACCAGUUGUUCUGCCAAGGGCAUCGCUGGGUAGCUAUGUGCGGACGGGAUAAGUGCUGAAAGCAUCUAAGCAUGAAGCCCCCCUCAAGAUGAGAUUUCCCAUUCCGCAAGGAAGUAAGAUCCCUGAAAGAUGAUCAGGUUGAUAGGUCUGAGGUGGAAGCGUGGUGACACGUGGAGCUGACAGAUACUAAUAGAUCGAGGACUUAACCUAUA